GAUGAACGCUGGCGGCGUGCCUAAUACGUGCAAGUCGAGCGAACAGACAAGGAGCUUGCUCCUUUGACGUUAGCGGCGGACGGGUGAGUAACACGUGGGUAACCUACCUAUAAGACUGGGAUAACUUCGGGAAACCGGAGCUAAUACCGGAUAAUAUUUCGAACCGCAUGGUUCGAUAGUGAAAGAUGGUUUUGCUAUCACUUAUAGAUGGACCCGCGCCGUAUUAGCUAGUUGGUAAGGUAACGGCUUACCAAGGCGACGAUACGUAGCCGACCUGAGAGGGUGAUCGGCCACACUGGAACUGAGACACGGUCCAGACUCCUACGGGAGGCAGCAGUAGGGAAUCUUCCGCAAUGGGCGAAAGCCUGACGGAGCAACGCCGCGUGAGUGAUGAAGGUCUUCGGAUCGUAAAACUCUGUUAUUAGGGAAGAACAUACGUGUAAGUAACUAUGCACGUCUUGACGGUACCUAAUCAGAAAGCCACGGCUAACUACGUGCCAGCGGCCGCGGUAAUACGUAGGUGGCAAGCGUUAUCCGGAAUUAUUGGGCGUAAAGCGCGCGUAGGCGGUUUUUUAAGUCUGAUGUGAAAGCCCACGGCUCAACCGUGGAGGGUCAUUGGAAACUGGAAAACUUGAGUGCAGAAGAGGAAAGUGGAAUUCCAUGUGUAGCGGUGAAAUGCGCAGAGAUAUGGAGGAACACCAGUGGCGAAGGCGACUUUCUGGUCUGUAACUGACGCUGAUGUGCGAAAGCGUGGGGAUCAAACAGGAUUAGAUACCCUGGUAGUCCACGCCGUAAACGAUGAGUGCUAAGUGUUAGGGGGCCCCCGCCCCUUAGUGCUGCAGCUAACGCAUUAAGCACUCCGCCUGGGGAGUACGACCGCAAGGUUGAAACUCAAAGGAAUUGACGGGGACCCGCACAAGCGGUGGAGCAUGUGGUUUAAUUCGAAGCAACGCGAAGAACCUUACCAAAUCUUGACAUCCUUUGACAACUCUAGAGAUAGAGCCUUCCCCUUCGGGGGACAAAGUGACAGGUGGUGCAUGGUUGUCGUCAGCUCGUGUCGUGAGAUGUUGGGUUAAGUCCCGCGACGAGCGCAACCCUUAAGCUUAGUUGCCAUCAUUAAGUUGGGCACUCUAAGUUGACUGCCGGUGACAAACCGGAGGAAGGUGGGGAUGACGUCAAAUCAUCAUGCCCCUUAUGAUUUGGGCUACACACGUGCUACAAUGGACAAUACAAAGGGCAGCGAAAUCGCGAGGUCAAGCAAAUCCCAUAAAGUUGUUCUCAGUUCGGAUUGUAGUCUGCAACUCGACUACAUGAAGCUGGAAUCGCUAGUAAUCGUAGAUCAGCAUGCUACGGUGAAUACGUUCCCGGGUCU
rnacentral:rRNA from 1 species